rnacentral:misc_RNA from 1 species
UCUCCGUAGGUGAACCUGCGGAAGGAUCAUUAUUGUAUAACCGAGGUGCGAGGGCUGUCGCUGACUCGAAAGGUCGUGCACGCCCGAGUGCCCUCACACACAUCCAUCUCACCCCUAUGUGCACCACCGCGUGGGUCCCCCUUUGGCUUGUUCGGAGGGGGGCUUACGUUUUCACACAAACUUUGUAUGCAGUGUAGAAUGUAUUUUUUGUUUUUGCGAUCACGCAAUCAAUACAACUUUCAACAACGGAUCUCUUGGCUCUC